rnacentral:rRNA from 1 species
GGAAUGCCUAGUAAGCGCGAGUCAUCAACUCGCGUUGAUUACGUCCCUGCCCUUUGUACACACCGCCCGUCGCUCCUUCCGAUUGGGUGUGCUGGUGAAGAGUUCGGACUGGCCAAGUGCUCGAAAGGGCGCCGGGCCGGGAAGUUCUU